UACCUGGUUGAUUCUCCCAUUAGUCAUAUGCUUGUCUCAAAGAUUAAGCCAUGCAUGUCUAAGUAUAAGCAACUAUACGGUGAAACUGCGAAUGGCUCAUUAAAUCAGUUAUCGUUUAUUUGAUAGUACCUUACUACAUGGAUAACCGUGGUAAUUCUAGAGCUAAUACAUGCUAAAAACCUCGACUUCGGAAGGGGUGUAUUUAUUAGAUAAAAAACCAAUGCCCUUCGGGGCUCCUUGGUGAAUCAUAAUAACUUAACGAAUCGCAUGGCCUUGCGCCGGCGAUGGUUCAUUCAAAUUUCUGCCCUAUCAACUUUCGAUGGUAGGAUAGUGGCCUACCAUGGUAUCAACGGGUAACGGGGAAUUAGGGUUCGACUCCGGAGAGGGAGCCUGAGAAACGGCUACCACAUCCAAGGAAGGCAGCAGGCGCGCAAAUUACCCAAUCCCGACACGGGGAGGUAGUGACAAUAAAUACUGAUACAGGGCUCUUUUGGGUCUUGUAAUUGGAAUGAGUACAAUUUAAAUCCCUUAACGAGGAACAAUUGGAGGGCAAGUCUGGUGCCAGCAGCCGCGGUAAUUCCAGCUCCAAUAGCGUAUAUUAAAGUUGUUGCAGUUAAAAAGCUCGUAGUUGAACCUUGGGCCUGGCUGGCCGGUCCGCCUCACCGCGUGUACUGGUCCGGCCGGGCCUUUCCUUCUGGGGAACCUCAUGCCCUUCACUGGGCGUGUUGGGGAACCAGGACUUUUACUUUGAAAAAAUUAGAGUGUUCAAAGCAGGCCUUUGCUCGAAUACAUUAGCAUGGAAUAAUAGAAUAGGACGUGUGGUUCUAUUUUGUUGGUUUCUAGGAACGCCCGUAUGAUUAAUAGGGAUAGUCGGGGGCAUCAGUAUUUCAUCGUCAGAGGUGAAAUUCUUGGAUUGAUUGAAGAACUACUACUGCGAAAGCAUUUGCCA
rnacentral:rRNA from 1 species